rnacentral:misc_RNA from 1 species
AGGAACUAAGUAUCAAAUCUAUAAUAUGAUAUAUUACCUCAGACUACAUAAUUAUUACCAUGUUAUUAGGGAUGCAUGUAAAUUACUAUUAACCCAAACAUAUUAAUAAUUGACCUAAAUAUUCCAACCUCCCUCAACCAAUAUGAAAUAAAUAUUGUAAGAUUUUACAUAGAAAUGUAAGAAGCAGACACUUUUAUAGAGAUGCAUUCAAAAACUUUAACCACCAAUAUUGUGCAAGUUACUCCA